rnacentral:tRNA from 1 species
GGAGCUGUGCCUGAAGUUUAAAGGGUCACUUUGAUAGAGUGAAUAAUGAAGGUUAAAGUCCUUCCACCUCCU